CCAAAAAAGCUGGCACAGAGUUUCUCCAUUUUAAAAUACGAGUAACUUAGAAGAACAUCCCCCCGCCAGAGUUUUGGAGAGUUUCACGAUUUUUCCGGUCCCCCACCCGGCACCCCACUCCGACAACGACGGUUCCCUGCUGAAACGCCACUCCGUCCCUGUCUGAAGCAAGUAAGUCGAGCAGUUAUGAAACAGAACGCUAGAAAAACAAGCGAUCUUUUGAAACAGAACACGAAAACCGAGGAGGAACCACCUAGGGCAUCAAAAGUGGUCGUUUGUUUUCUCUUACCGGUAUGUCACGUUUGUUAUUAGAGUGACAUAACCAACGGAGGCAAGAAACCCGAGAUGGAAUCAGCCUGGUGAACUGGGAAUUCUCGCGAAAGAGCCAAGCGAACUUUUCUAAAUGUUUCGUCUUAUUCCGAGGGCCUACUCAAAGGCGAAAUCUCCGUCAUCUGAAAAGGCACCAGGGCAGCAACCCAGCGCCGACAGAGCCCACGGCCCGCAAGAGUCGCCCUCUCGAGAAACCCUCGCAGGUUUCCUGCGAGACCCAAACACACGCGCGCGCGCCCUCCACGCCUAGUCCCGUGACGCGAAGGGCGAAAUGGACUUGAGCCGCUCGCGGGGCACCGAACGAGACUCUCCGUUCUAGCAAGAGGCGCCACUUGUCAGCAGCUUUUUCUGUUUCAGUCGCCAGACUUUCCCACGUUGUUGUUCUUUCAAAGCAAAGCAGACCACAGCACGGCUAAACAAGGGAGCAAACGGGUUCCCCCACCAGUUCGCCGCCACACGGAAAGAGGGCUGGGGAGCUGGAGAGGACGGAGAGAGAAACGACGGGAAAGGUCAAGGCAAUGAAACAAACAGCUGGCCUAACAGCUAGAGGACCUGUGGAAGGUGACUCAAGAUGAAUCCAUUCAAGCAUGGCCUAGAAUCCUUAUUAAGGCCUAUGGCUCUGAAAGUGGCUUGUCCAUUCCUGAUGAGCCAAGAAGAAGUGACAAUUAGACACAUGCUGGCAUUUACUCUUCUGCUCAAAAACUGUGCUUGACAGGCAAGACGAAAUCUACCAAUACUUACCAAUUGAAUAAACAGAAGUGGGAUGGUGCCUCAGAAAUAUCACAAUUCCCAGAUGUAUGUUUUAAGGAACCAGGUCCAAGGAAAGCAAAAUGGAGGGUGUGAUUUUGGUCCAGAUGAAAGCAUUACCUCAAAAAGCUCUGGGUCACAUCAGGAAUCACCUUGUCAAGAAAGAACUUACUCAUGCUGGUUUACUAUAAAGUUCUGAUCUCUGCCCUCAGUUUUAACCAUUUCAAGAUCAUUUGUACUAUUACAUGGAGACCGAACUCUACUUUCUUAAACCCAUUCAGUGCUUCACCUCUCUUGGCACAGCGUAUGGUUUCCAUUCUGCGCAAUGCAUCAGGAUGCAAAAGAGAAGCAUGUUUUCCAGUUUCCCUUCAUUACGAGGGGCAGACCACCUUUGCCUGUAUUUCUUGGAACUGACCUCCUGGAACCAACGGGGCUGCCUGCCAGGAAAAUGUACGGAAGAUGGAAGAUCCAGAUUUCAGUUGUCUCAACAACACUGAUUCGCUUCAUACUUUAGAAUAAUACAGUUUUAAAUACAGAAUCCAGAGAUUACUGUCAUGCUUAAUAGUUAAAGCCAGUUCACAGAAGUUGUUACGCUGCUGACCCAAGACUACUGUACUGUCUUCAGAAAAUGUAAUACGGCCUGUUCUACGUACAAGGGUUGCACCCAUCUGGGAUGGGUGCCAGGCUCAAGUGUUCCCACAAUGCAGCUGGUUUUGGGGAGCAAUUCUGCACCUGAGUCAAUUACCUGGUGGUCCAAAGGAAAGAAGCAAGGAUUACAGCACUGCUUUUCUGAAGUUCCAGAGCAGGAGAUUUCCCACUGAUUGGAAUUCUCACUUCAUUUUGUCUGCCAGCUCCUCAGAUCACCCUCCUCCAUGAAGGAGUCAAGGUAUAGUUGUGCCUUGUUUCUGUUUUUCCUU